rnacentral:rRNA from 1 species
GAUGAACGCUGGCGGCGUGCCUAAUACAUGCAAGUCGAGCGAACAGACGAGGAGCUUGCUCCUCUGACGUUAGCGGCGGACGGGUGAGUAACACGUGGAUAACCUACCUAUAAGACUGGGAUAACUUCGGGAAACCGGAGCUAAUACCGGAUAAUAUAUUGAACCGCAUGGUUCAAUAGUGAAAGACGGUUUUGCUGUCACAUAUAGAUGGAUCCGCGCCGCAUUAGCUAGUUGGUAAGGUAACGGCUUACCAAGGCAACGAUGCGUAGCCGACCUGAGAGGGUGAUAGGCCACACUGGAACUGCGACACGGUCCAGACUCCUACGGGAGGCAGCAGUAGGGAAUCUUGCGCCAUGGGCGAAAGCCUGACGGAGCAACGCCGCGUCAGUGAUGAAGGUCUUCGGAUCGUAAAACUCGGUUAUUAGGGAAGAACAAAUGUGUAAGUAACUAUGCACGUCUUGACGGUACCUAAUCGGAAAGCCACGGCUAACUACGUG